rnacentral:rRNA from 1 species
UUUGAUCCUGGCUCAGGAUGAACGCUGGCGGCGUGCUUAACACAUGCAAGUCGAACGAUGAACCUCACUUGUGGGGGGAUUAGUGGCGAACGGGUGAGUAACACGUGAGUAACCUGCCCUUGACUCUGGGAUAAGCCUGGGAAACCGGGUCUAAUACUGGAUACGACCUUCUGGCGCAUGCCAUGUUGGUGGAAAGCUUUUGUGGUUUUGGAUGGACUCGCGGCCUAUCAGCUUGUUGGUGGGGUAAUGGCCUACCAAGGCGACGACGGGUAGCCGGCCUGAGAGGGUGACCGGCCACACUGGGACUGAGACACGGCCCAGACUCCUACGGGAGGCAGCAGUGGGGAAUAUUGCACAAUGGGCGCAAGCCUGAUGCAGCGACGCCGCGUGAGGGAUGAAGGCCUUCGGGUUGUAAACCUCUUUCAGU